UACACUCCUACGGGAGGCAGCAGUGAGGAAUAUUGGCCAAUGGGUGGAAGCCUGAUCCAGCCAUCCCGCGUGCAGGAAGACGGCCCUAUGGGUUGUAAACUGCUUUUAUCUGGGGAUAAACCUACUUACGUGUAAGUAGCUGAAGGUACCAGAAGAAUAAGCACCGGCUAACUCCGUGCCAGCAGCCGCGGUAAUACGGAGGGUGCAAGCGUUAUCCGGAUUUAUUGGGUUUAAAGGGUCCGUAGGCGGACUGAUAAGUCAGUGGUGAAAUCCGACAGCUUAACUGUCGAACUGCCAUUGAUACUGUUAGUCUUGAGUAAGGUUGAAGUGGCUGGAAUAAGUAGUGUAGCGGUGAAAUGCAUAGAUAUUACUUAGAACACCAAUUGCGAAGGCAGGUCACUAAGUCUUAACUGACGCUGAUGGACGAAAGCGUGGGGAGCGAACAGGAUUAGAAACCCUGGUAGUCCCA
rnacentral:rRNA from 1 species